AUGAAAGUGAAGGAGAUAUACUUGGCAGGGAGAGAGGUGAUCCUAAAAUCUGGGAAUGUCACUAGACUGUGGAGUGACACUAUUCUGGGUGAGGCUCCCUUACGAAAUCGAUUCCCGAUUUUAUUUGGUAUUUGCAACUAUCAAGAGAUUAAGGUGGCUGACUUUAAGAAAUUUGAGGGAAAUGAUCUCUUUAGGAGACACCUGCACCGCCCUCUUACAGAUCAAUGGAAUGAUCUAGUUAAGGUGGCGAACUCCUGGCCAUUAUCAGCAGAACCUGAUCAGAUUUGCUGGGCUUUGGAUAAAAAGAAAAAAUUCUCAACCAAAUCAGUCUAUGUCUACUUAGAGAGACAACUAGCAGGGUGCGAUUACAGAUGAAUCUGGAAAGCCAAGAUCCCCCUUAAAAUUCAAAUCUUCCUUUGGCAGUUGUUCCAGGAUGCUAUUCUGACUAGGAAGGUCAUGAAAAGGCGAAACUGGGCUGGAAAUCCUAGAUGCUCUUUCUGCAGAGACGUUGAAACAUCUCAGCAUUUGUUCUUUACCUGUCCCGUGGCUCGAAUGGUUUGGAGGACGGUCGGAUGUAUGCUGGGCACAGCCUUAUGCCCGAACAACAUUUGGUAG
rnacentral:rRNA from 1 species